UCGCUUAACCUCAAACAGAUAAAUCUAUCGUACACUUCAGUGACGGACGUAGGGCUGUUGUCUCUUGCCAGCAUCAGCAGUCUGCAGAACAUUACAAUCCUACACCUGAAAGGUUUGUCUCCCGGUGGACUAGGAGCUGCACUUUUGGCUUGCGGCGGACUUACUAAAGUUAAACUGCAGACAUCAUUUAAACCUUUGCUACCACAACCUCUUCUUCAACAUUUAGAAGCCCGAGGUUGUGUGUUCCAAUGGAGAGAGAAACCAUUUCAGGCUGAAGUAGAUCCAAUAUGCUGGAAAAUUCAGCUGGAUAAUUUAGAUGAAGAUUAAAGUCAACCGUUUGAGCCAUUUAUGCUGGUGGCCUGUGACGAAUGGAUCGUCGUCCCAAAGCUUUCUAGUCAGGUCAUUUGUUCAUCUGUUAGCACUUUAUCUGGCAUUAGGUGCAUUAUUUCUGGUGCCUGUUUUUCCGGUUUCGCGUCUGCAACUUGUUCAUAUGUACUCUUUAAAUACUCUGUAAAUUCCAAAGAAGAGGGAAAGUAAUUUGCCAUUCAGCAUUGCCCUACCUGGCAUUAGAUCAAUUUUGUCACAAAUAGAUGGAUUGAACAGAUUGAGAAAACCAUGUUUCGAUGA